UCCAGUUGCCACACCCGAAGAAGCACUUGCCCUGCAUCGGCCCUGGCACGGACACCACGCCUCCUCUGGUCGGUACCCUGCAGUAGCAGAAGCACGUCGCAGAGGAGCUGCCGCAGGGGCUUAUCAUGUGUGGCUGCGGCGGCUGCUGCUUCUGCUGGAUCAGCGGCGGCGCCAGCGCCGAUGAGCCACCGCAAGGGCUUGUGCGAAGCUGCGGCGACUGCUGCUUCUG
rnacentral:rRNA from 1 species